rnacentral:rRNA from 1 species
CUACGGGAGGCAGCAGUGGGGAAUCUUGCGCAAUGGGCGAAAGCCUGACGCAGCAACGCCGCGUGUGUGAUGAAGGUCUUCGGAUCGUAAAGCACUGUCGCGAGGGACGAAUAAGGGACGGGCGAACAGUCCGUUUCGAUGACGGUACCUCGAGAGGAAGCACCGGCUAACUCUGUGCCAGCAGCCGCGGUAAUACAGAGGGUGCAAGCGUUGUUCGGAAUUAUUGGGCGUAAAGCGCGUGUAGGCGGCCUAGCAAGUCGGAUGUGAAAGCCCUCGGCUUAACCGAGGAAGUGCGUUCGAAACUACUGGGCUUGAGUACCGGAGAGGGUGGCGGAAUUCCCGGUGUAGAGGUGAAAUUCGUAGAUAUCGGGAGGAACACCAGUGGCGAAGGCGGCCACCUGGACGGAUACUGACGCUGAGACGCGAAAGCGUGGGUAGCAAACAGGAUUAGAUACCCUGGUAGA